GGCCUUGACAUACUAAGAACUUUCCAGAGAUGGAUUGGUGCCUUCGGGAACUUAGAUACAGGUGCUGCAUGGCUGUCGUCAGCUCGUGUCGUGAGGUGUUGGGUUAAGUCCCGCAACGAGCGCAGCCCUUUUCCUAUUUGCCAGCGGGUCAUGCCGGGAACUUUAAGGAUACUGCCAGUGACAAACUGGAGGAAGGCGGGGACGACGUCAAGUCAUCAUGGCCCUUACGGCCAGGGCUACACACGUGCUACAAUGGUCGGUACAAAGGGUUGCUACCUCGCGAGAGGAUGCUAAUCUCAAAAAGCCGAUCGUAGUCCGGAUCGCAGUCUGCAACUCGACUGCGUGAAGUCGGAAUCGCUAGUAAUCGCGGAUCAGAAUGCCGCGGUGAAUACGUUCCCGGGCCUUGUACACACCGCCCGUCACACCAUGGGAGUUUGUUGCACCAGAAGUAGGUAGUCUAACCGCAAGGAGGACGCUUACCACGGUGUGGCCGAUGACUGGGGUGAAGUCGUAACAAGGUAAGCGUAGAUGA
rnacentral:rRNA from 1 species